UGGGGAAUAUUGCACAAUGGGCGAAAGCCUGAUGCAGCGACGCCGCGUGAGGGAUGACGGCCAUCGGGUUGUAAACCUCUUUCAGCAGGGACGAAGCGCAAGUGACGGUACCUGCAGAAGAAGCACCGGCUAACUACGUGCCAGCAGCCGCGGUAAUACGUAGGGUGCAAGCGUUGUCCGGAAUUACUGGGCGUAAAGAGUUCGUAGGGGGUUUGUCGCGUCGUUUGUGAAAACCAGCAGCUCAACUGCGGGCUUGCAGGCGAUACGGGCAGACUUGAGUACUGCAGGGGAGACUGGAAUUCCUGGUGUAGAGGUGAAAUGCGCAGAUAUCAGGAGGAACACCGGUGGCGAAGGCGGGUCUCUGGGCAGUAACAGACGCUGAGGAACGAAAGCGUGGGUAGCGAACAGG
rnacentral:rRNA from 1 species